rnacentral:rRNA from 1 species
AGCAGCCGCGGUAAUUCCAGCUCCAAUAGCGUAUAUUAAAGUUGUUGCAGUUAAAAAGCUCGUAGUUGAAUUUCAGGCCUGGCUGGACGGUCCGCCCUUCGGGUGAGUACUGUCUGUGGUCGGGUCCUACCUUCUGGCGAAGCGUCAUGGCCUUAACCGGCCGUGGCGGGGAACCAGGACUUUUACUGUGAAAAAUUAGAGUGUUCAAAGCAGGCAAUCGCUUGGAUACAUUAGCAUGGAAUAAUGGAAUAGGACGAUGGUUCUAUUUGUUGGUUUCUAGGACCGUUGUAAUGAUUAAUAGGGAUAGUUGGGGGCAUUAGUAUUCAAUUGUCAGAGGUGAAAUUCUUGGAUUUAUUGAAGACUAACUACUGCGAAAGCAUUUGCCAAGGAUGUUUUCAUUAAUCAAGAACGAAAGUUAGGGGAUCGAAGACGAUCAGAUACCGUCGUAGUCUUAACCAUAAACUAUGCCGACUAGGAAUCGGGCGAUGUUGACAAAAUGACGCGCUCGGCACCUCAUGGG